UAAUGAACUGACAAAAUUUGU
rnacentral:piRNA from 1 species